rnacentral:rRNA from 1 species
AUCAGAAGUGCGAAUGCUGACAUAAGUAACGAUAAAGCGGGUGAAAAGCCCGCUCGCCGGAAGACCAAGGGUUCCUGUCCAACGUUAAUCGGGGCAGGGUGAGUCGACCCCUAAGGCGAGGCCGAAAGGCGUAGUCGAUGGGAAACAGGUUAAUAUUCCUGUACUUGGUGUUACUGCGAAGGGGGGACGGAGAAGGCUAUGUUGGCCGGGCGACGGUUGUCCCGGUUUAAGCGUGUAGGCUGGUUUUCCAGGCAAAUCCGGAAAAUCAAGGCUGAGGCGUGAUGACGAGGCACUACGGUGCUGAAGUAACAAAUGCCCUGCUUCCAGGAAAAGCCUCUAAGCAUCAGGUAACAUCAAAUCGUACCCCAAACCGACACAGGUGGUCAGGUAGAGAAUACCAAGGCGCUUGAGAGAACUCGGGUGAAGGAACUAGGCAAAAUGGUGCCGUAACUUCGGGAGAAGGCACGCUGAUAUGUAGGUGAAGCGACUUGCUCGUGGAGCUGAAAUCAGUCGAAGAUACCAGCUGGCUGCAACUGUUUAUUAAAAACACAGCACUGUGCAAACACGAAAGUGGACGUAUACGGUGUGACGCCUGCCCGGUGCCGGAAGGUUAAUUGAUGGGGUUAGCGGUAACGCGAAGCUCUUGAUCGAAGCCCCGGUAAACGGCGGCCGUAACUAUAACGGUCCUAAGGUAGCGAAAUUCCUUGUCGGGUAAGUUCCGACCUGCACGAAUGGCGUAAUGAUGGCCAGGCUGUCUCCACCCGAGACUCAGUGAAAUUGAACUCGCUGUGAAGAUGCAGUGUACCCGCGGCAAGACGGAAAGACCCCGUGAACCUUUACUAUAGCUUGACACUGAACAUUGAGCCUUGAUGUGUAGGAUAGGUGGGAGGCUUUGAAGUGUGGACGCCAGUCUGCAUGGAGCCGACCUUGAAAUACCACCCUUUAAUGUUUGAUGUUCUAACGUUGGCCCGUUAUCCGGGUUGCGGACAGUGUCUGGUGGGUAGUUUGACUGGGGCGGUCUCCUCCUAAAGAGUAACGGAGGAGCACGAAGGUUGGCUAAUCCUGGUCGGACAUCAGGAGGUUAGUGCAAUGGCAUAAGCCAGCUUGACUGCGAGCGUGACGGCGCGAGCAGGUGCGAAAGCAGGUCAUAGUGAUCCGGUGGUUCUGAAUGGAAGGGCCAUCGCUCAACGGAUAAAAGGUACUCCGGGGAUAACAGGCUGAUACCGCCCAAGAGUUCAUAUCGACGGCGGUGUUUGGCACCUCGAUGUCGGCUCAUCACAUCCUGGGGCUGAAGUAGGUCCCAAGGGUAUGGCUGUUCGCCAUUUAAAGUGGUACGCGAGCUGGGUUUAGAACGUCGUGAGACAGUUCGGUCCCUAUCUGCCGUGGGCGCUGGAGAACUGAGGGGGGCUGCUCCUAGUACGAGAGGACCGGAGUGGACGCAUCACUGGUGUUCGGGUUGUCAUGCCAAUGGCACUGCCCGGUAGCUAAAUGCGGAAGAGAUAAGUGCUGAAAGCAUCUAAGCACGAAACUUGCCCCGAGAUGAGUUCUCCCUGACUCCCUGAGAGUCCUGAAGGAACGUUGAAGACGACGACGUUGAUAGGCCGGGUGUGUAAGCGCAGCGAUGCGUUGAGCUAACCGGUACUAAUGAACCGUGAGGCUUAACCUU